rnacentral:rRNA from 1 species
GAUGAACGCUGGCGGCGUGCCUAAUACAUGCAAGUCGAGCGAACAGACGAGGAGCUUGCUCCUCUGACGUUAGCGGCGGACGGGUGAGUAACACGUGGAUAACCUACCUAUAAGACUGGGAUAACUUCGGGAAACCGGAGCUAAUACCGGAUAAUAUAUUGAACCGCAUGGUUCAAUAGUGAAAGACGGUUUUGCUGUCACUUAUAGAUGGAUCCGCGCCGCAUUAGCUAGUUGGUAUGGUAACGGCUUACCAAGGCAACGAUGCGUAGCCGACCUGAGAGGGUGAUCGGCCACACUGGAACUGAGACACGGUCCAGACUCCUACGGGAGGCAGCAGUAGGGAAUCUUCCGCAAUGGGCGAAAGCCUGACGGAGCAACGCCGCGUGAGUGAUGAAGGUCUUCGGAUCGUAAAACUCUGUUAUUAGGGAAGAACAAAUGUAUAAGUAACUAUGCACGUCUUGACGGUACCUAAUCAGAAAGCCACGGCUAACUACGUG